rnacentral:misc_RNA from 1 species
UCCGGCUUAUCACGGACGGUCCGCCGUUGUCUAGCCCAGGUAAGGUUCUUCGCGUUGCGUCGAAUUGAACCACAUGCUCCACCGCUUGUGCGGGCCCCCGUCAAUUCCUUUGAGUUUUAAUCUUGCGACCGUACUCCCCAGGCGGGGCACUUAAUGCGUUAGCUGCGGCACCCAGGGGGUCAAUACCCCAGACACCUAGUGCCCAUCGUUUACAGCGUGGACUAC